UGGGGAAUCUUGGACAAUGGGGGCAACCCUGAUCCAGCCAUGCCGCGUGAGUGAUGAAGGCCUUAGGGUCGUAAAGCUCUUUCGCCUGUGAAGAUAAUGACGGUAGCAGGUAAAGAAGCCCCGGCUAACUCCGUGCCAGCAGCCGCGGUAAUACGGAGGGGGUUAGCGUUGUUCGGAAUUACUGGGCGUAAAGCGCACGUAGGCGGACCAGAAAGUUGGGGGUGAAAUCCCGGGGGCUCAACCCCGGAACUGCCUCCAAAACUAUUGGUCUAGAGUUCGAGAGAGGUGAGUGGAAUUCCAAGUGUAGAGGUGAAAUUCGUAGAUAUUUGGAGGAACACCAGUGGCGAAGGCGGCUCACUGGCUCGAUACUGACGCUGAGGUGCGAAAAGUGUGGGGAGCAAACAGGAUUAGAUACCCUGGUAGUCCACACCGUAAAACGAUGAAUGCCAGUCGUCGGGUAGCAUGCUAUUCGGUGACACA
rnacentral:rRNA from 1 species